rnacentral:rRNA from 1 species
AAUCCCUUAAAGCUACUCUCAGUUCGGAUUGUAGGCUGAAACUCGCCUACAUGAAGCUGGAGUUACUAGUAAUCGCAGAUCAGAAUGCUGCGGUGAAUGCGUUCCCGGGUCUUGUACACACCGCCCGUCACACCCCGGGAGUUGGAGACGCCCGAAGCCGAUUAUCUAACCUUUUGGAAGAAGUCGUCGAAGGUGGAAUCAAUAACUGGGGUGAAGUCGUAACAAGGUAGCCGUAUCGGAAGGUGCGGCUGGAUCACCUCCUUUCUAAGGAGA